GAUGAACGCUGGCGGCGUGCCUAAUACAUGCAAGUCGAGCGAACAGAUAAGGAGCUUGCUCCUUUGACGUUAGCGGCGGACGGGUGAGUAACACGUGGGUAACCUACCUAUAAGACUGGAAUAACUCCGGGAAACCGGGGCUAAUGCCGGAUAACAUUUAGAACCGCAUGGUUCUAAAGUGAAAGGUGGUUUUGCUAUCACUUAUAGAUGGACCCGCGCCGUAUUAGCUAGUUGGUAAGGUAACGGCUUACCAAGGCAACGAUACGUAGCCGACCUGAGAGGGUGAUCGGCCACACUGGAACUGAGACACGGUCCAGACUCCUACGGGAGGCAGCAGUAGGGAAUCUUCCGCAAUGGGCGAAAGCCUGACGGAGCAACGCCGCGUGAGUGAUGAAGGUCUUCGGAUCGUAAAACCCUGUUAUUAGGGAAGAACAAAUGUGUAAGUAACUGUGCACGUCUUGACGGUACCUAAUCAGAAAGCCACGGCUAACUACGUG
rnacentral:rRNA from 1 species